GCCAGAAGGAGGCCGAGGCGGCGCCGCCGGCCUCAGCCGCGGUGGAGCCUGUGGUCGCGGCGCUGCGCCAGGUGACCAUCGGCAGGGGGCGAGGACGCGGCACUCAGAUGACCAAAGCUGGCCGUGCCAAGUCCAAACAGCCCAGCGGCGUGUAGCUCGGGCGCCAAGCGGCCGACCGGGAGGAGUUUGGCCUCCGGCGGUCGCGCGCCAGGCGCGGGGCACAGCGACACUCUCUAGUGCCCAGCUUUCCGCCCUGGACGUGUGCCGAACAUCACUGGAUCCGGCCCGGUCGAGGAUGACCGGGCCUACAGCUCAGGGCAGCACGACAGGUACUACGCAAGCACGAAGAGUUUGCGUUGUGUACAGAGCGUCGAUUCUCAGGUGGAGGUUGCUUUAUCAUAUUUUGCGGGCCAGUGUUGUUGACGGACGUCAGCCCUACGUUCUGCGACACUGGCAGCUGCUGCAUCGGGAAUGUGAAACGGCUUCGGGCCGAAGUACCUCAGGGUUGGGCUGGUGCAGCGUCGGUGGUGGGUGCCCCGGGCUUUGCCGUGGCGCUCACUCAGCGUCAGCAGGCGCGCGGUGCGCGGCGCGGCUGGUGUCUGACGCCCGGACCGGGGUCCGUGCGCAGAGCGGUGUUGGGCUGGUGACUCGGGACUGGCUGUUGGACUCGGGACGCGGCGCAGGGCUUGAUUGCGUUCGUCGGAGUUUAUGUUACCAGAAGAGAUUGCACGAGACGGUUCCACCUAUCGCACAGGAACACUGAGGAUGUUACUAGUGCUUAAAAUACCAAUCUUUUUUCGUAAUGUGCUGUCAAUUUUUAUAGUGCGCCUCUCGAACAUUUAUGUUACGAAGCUCCAUACACAGUUUGUUCAUUUAACGGUGU